CUCCCGUGUAGAAGGAGCUGCGGAGCCACAGCUGCCCCACGGGACGCGGAUGAGCCCCACAGCUGCCCCAUGGGACGCGGAUGAGGUAUGGGGGGCACUGAAGAGGCGGGGAGCCCCCCCAGCACUGAGCCCCUGAGCUGCAGCCCCACAACUGCCCCCCAGCUGCCUCACAAGACACGGAUGAGGUACGCGGGGAGGACGUGAACGACGUUUUGGUCUCUCAGCAGAUAUUGCAGGAGCCAGGCCCGGCCCUCCUUGCAAGGUGUUUUGCCAUCCAGCGGCCCCCGGCUCCUCCUGCGCCCCGGGAUAACCGCCUGCUCCGCCAUCUUGUCGGCCUCGCGCUGCCUCCAGGAGCCGCCCGUCGCCUCCUUCCAUCGCUGCCGAGCUCCGAGCUUCAAUCCGUGCUGCAGGACGGGGCGAGCGCCUUCCCACACAGCGGGCCUGGAAUGUGCCACGCUCAGAGCCAACACCACCACACCCAGCAGCAGCGCCCUGCCGGGCACCGCCGCAGCCACGGGAGGACGAGGAGGGACCCGCAGCACGCACAGACGUCCCCAAAACCUCCCGGCACGGAGCUGAGCUGCUCUUCCAACGGCCAUCUUCUCAAUCUGCUCCCGGCCCCGUGGCAAAUAUCUGCUGAGAGACGGUCGCCGCGCCGCCCCGCGUACCAUCACCACUCGCUUCACGGUUCUUUUUAACUUUUUUUUUUUUUCCUUUUUAAUUUUUUUUUUUUUUCAUCUUCUAUUUUAAAAGAGAAGCCGGCGAGGUGGGUUUUCUUUUCCGCCAACGAGAGAAGCUGCCCCUCAGUGCAGAGCGGAGCAGCUGGGGAGCGAAGCGCCUCGGAACCGCGCCGGGGAGCGGCCGCAUCCCGACGAGUCGCCCUCCGCUGUCACGGAGUGAUGGACCACUCAAUAUGAGGGGAUCACUGCAGCCAACUCCUGCGCCCGUUACCCCGGGGCGGCCGGAAGCACGCGGGGUAACGCAGCGUUUCCGUUUUCUCUUGGGAGGGAGCGGGGAAAAUCGAAGCAGUUUUGACUUUGACGGAGCCGUGGGAUUUGAUUCUUGGGCUGAUCCACGCGGGCGGCCGGCCCGGACGUCUCGGCUAUUUACACGAGGUUCUGGGGCGCUAUACAAGAUUUACAUUUCCGUUUGUACAGCAGAUGCUUUGAUAGAGUCGCGCUCUCAAACCGUCCCUUCCGGGGCGACAGAAAUCUGGAAGCUCCACAAACCCGGCGUUCCCCUUCCGGAUAAAAGCCUUUUGCCCGUCUCCUACAGAAUCCAAGCCAUUGAAAAAGAAAAACAAAAACAAAAACCAACCAAGCGAAACAACCACCUCAUAUCUAUACACACAUACAGGGCUGUGUGUAUACAGACACAGAAGGAACAACCGAACCGCCGCCACGCGAAGCCCGGCUCUGCCCGCUGGCGUUGGGGAGCAGGAGGGGAGUCGGCUCCCACCACCGAGCACGGCAGACCACCACCACAACCCCUCUCCUCCCCUCGCGGGGUGCAUCCGGGCCUCGCUCAGCCUCUCCGUGUGGCUGCGGCCAGAAAACACCGCACCGCUCUGCUUGUUCUCUCUUUGUUGCUGCGAGAUUUCUUCCCCCGACGCGCUCUGCUCUUCUCACCCGUGUGCUGGAAGGUCAAAUGGAGCUGUGGGAGGUUUCUGUACAUAGAUACAGCGCUCAGAGCCGGCGCCGGGUGGGACAGAUGUGCUGGGUGUUGGGUUUUUUUUGGCUUGCGUGAUGUUUGCCUCUUCCCUUUUCCACGUGGCUCCUAAGCGGCGCUACCACGGAGUAAGAAAGGUAAGGCGAAUUCAGCCAAAAAAAAAUCCAAAAAAAAAACCAAAAAAAGGAGAAAAAAAAAUAAACCCAAAAAGAAUAUAUAUAUUUAUAUAUAUAUAUAUAUAACCCUCUUCGAAAAGGAGAGGUACCGCCCGCGUCGGCGCAAGAACCGGAGUGGCUCCCAGCAGCUGAGCAACAGAAAGUCCAUCAGCACCGAAGCGAGGGGACGCGGCGCUGCUGGCGCGGACACACACAGCAAUACAGCAGGACAUCACUGGGACAGCUGCCUUACAGUACAAAAUACAGUACGAGUGUACGGCGCCGGGCGGACACGCAGGAAUUACUAUUGCUCCCGGGAGGGCGUCGGAAACCGAGUCCUUUCGUGAUGGAGGAGAGUUAAAAACAGGAAAACGGAAGAGAGUCCUGGUUAAAAAUUCCCUUCAAAAGGGGCGGCGGGGGGCGCGUGGGGACGGCCCCGCUGGGAUGAGCCGCCCUCGGCCGUGCCUCACUUCUGCCAAUAAAUACGGAGCAAACGGAGCGGGGCGGCCGGGAGAGGGAUGGAGACAAUAAAUUAAGAAGGCAGCUGAAAUGAGAGGGCGGGCGUGCGUGGUGUGAGACAGAACCGGAGGGACGACGACGGUCCUACGAGAGCCUGGGAGGCGUCACACAGCAAUAGCUGGAACUUUGGAAUGAACAGCGGGCUCCCAUUCAGUUCAAAGUUAGGAGUACGGCGUGUUGGCUUAAAAAAAACCCCGCUGUGCAGGGCGGGACUGAGCCGAUUGCUUUAAAAAAUAAAGACCAUUCGAGAGUGAAAAUCCAUUUAAUAACAGAGGAGAGCGCCGAGAGGCCCCGCUGUGCUCCGCGGCGGCAGGAGCCGCGCUGGCGGAACGUCGAAGUGGUCAUUAAGAAUAAUUAAAAAAGGGGGAGAGAGGACAAAAAAUUAAAAAAAAAAAAAAAAAAAACCAAAAAGGGGGGGAAAAAAAAAAAAUAAAAAUGAAAACCAAACCCAAAAAAAGGGGGGAGACGUGGCGGGGCUCCCAGCUCCCCCAGCCACCACACGUUGAGGUACUGAGGAGACGCGUUGAGUUCGUGUUAAAAACCCGCGCUCGGAGGAGGGAGAGGAGGAAGAAGAAGAGGAGCGGGGUGGGAUUUCUGCACCUGAGGUCGGCGGCACCGCGGCGUGGGGGAUCCCUGCGGCACCGCGGCCGUGUGCUUUGUGCUGCUGCCUUCUGCUGCUGCCUUCCUGCUGCUCGCCCUCUCUCUGCGACCCCCGUGGUCGAAAGAAAAGGAGAGGAGGGUGGGGGGGGGGGAGAAAAAAAGCCAAAAAGGAGAAAAAAAGAAAAAAAAAAAAGGAGGAAAAAAGAAAAAAAAAAAAAGGAGGAAAAAAGAGCCCCGAAGCCAAACGAGGCCGUUCCUCACUCCUCACAAACCUGCCGGAUUCCCACCUGCUCGGCUGCGGGGUCCGGGUCGGCUGCCCGGAGUUCUGCAUCCCGGAAAACAACGCUGCGGAACGGAGGGGGGGAGAUGGGCUAAAUUCAAAAGGGAAAUCGAAGGAGACAAUGGACGUUGGUCCAGAGACGAACCCCUGCGUGGCAUCGCAUCGUAUCGCAUCGCAUCGCAUCGCCUCUCGCGGCCGUGGGCUCCGGUGCAGACGCCGGGAUGCUGGUGGGGCAGUGCCGGCACGGAGAGGGGGCGGGAUGGAACGGGACAGGACGGGAGAGAAGAGAGCAAAGGAGAGGAAAGGAGAGGAGAGGACAGGAGGGGGGCCCGGCGGCCCCGAGGAGCGCGGAGUCCUCGUUGGAAGCGGGCUGAGGGCUGCGGGCGCUCCGUGCCCCGUCGGAAGGAGAGACGCGGGGGGGGCUGCGGUCGGGCCCGGCGCUCCCUCCGUGUCCGG
ensembl:lncRNA